rnacentral:piRNA from 1 species
UACCAUUUCAUUUCUUAAUGCUUCCUGC